AACGAACACUGGCGGCAUGCCUAACACAUGCAAGUCGAACGAGACCUUCGGGUCUAGUGGCGCACGGGUGCGUAACGCGUGGGAAACUGCCCUUAGGUUCGGAAUAACUCCCCGAAAGGGGUGCUAAUACCGGAUAAUGUCUUCGGACCAAAGAUUUAUCGCCUUUGGAUGGGCCCGCGUUGGAUUAGCUAGUUGGUAGGGUAAAAGCCUACCAAGGCGACGAUCCAUAGCUGGUCUGAGAGGAUGAUCAGCCACACUGGGACUGAGACACGGCCCAGACUCCUACGGGAGGCAGCAGUGGGGAAUAUUGGACAAUGGGCGAAAGCCUGAUCCAGCAAUGCCGCGUGAGUGAUGAAGGCCUUAGGGUUGUAAAGCUCUUUUACCCGGGAUGAUAAUGACAGUACCGGGAGAAUAAGCUCCGGCUAACUCCGUG
rnacentral:rRNA from 1 species